AUUCUUUUAGUAUUAAUUAGUACAAUUGACUUCCAAUCAAUUAGCUUCGGCAUAAUCCGAAAAAGAAUA
rnacentral:tRNA from 1 species